GCUGCUAUAGUGUAGUGGUUAUCACUCGGGAUUUUGAAACAGUCUUCCCGAAACCCAGGUUCGAACCCUGGUAGCAGCU